rnacentral:rRNA from 1 species
CGCCUACGGGGGGCUGCAAUUAGGAAUCUUGCGCAAUGGGCGAAAGCCUGACGCAGCGACGCCGCGUGACCGACGAAGUCCUUCGGGAUGUAAAGGUCUUUUGCCAGGGAAGAAGAUCUGACGGUACCUGGCGAAUAAGCCCCGGCUAACUACGUGCCAGCAGCCGCGGUAAUACGUAGGGGGCGAGCGUUGUCCGAAGUUACUGGGCGUAAAGCGCGCGUAGGCGGUUGCUUAAGUUGGAUGUGAAAUCCUGGGGCCCAACCCCAGAACUGCAUCCAAAACUGGGCGACUUGAGGACGGGAGAGGGCAGUGGAAUUCCUGGUGUAGCGGUGAAAUGCGUAGAUAUCAGGAGGAACACCCGUGGCGAAGGCGGCUGCCUGGUCCGUAUCUGACGCUGAGGCGCGAAAGCCAGGGGAGCGAACGGGAUUAGAUACCCCAGUAGUCUG